UAUUAAGUUGUUGCAAAAGUAAUUGUGAUUAUUGCCGUUACUUUCAAUGGCAAAACCCGCAGUUACUUUUCCAUCAACCUAAUA
rnacentral:miRNA from 10 species